rnacentral:rRNA from 1 species
AUGGCGACUUCGACUUCGCGCGACCGCGGCGGCUACCCGCCGGACUCGACGCGGCUGCGCAUCGGCGACGACAUCGCCUGGGCGGACGUCGGCGGCGUGUACGACCGCGACGACUCCCUCAAGGAGAACACCAACCCCAAGUGCCUCCUCAAGGCCCACAACCCGAGCGCGCCCGGCCAGCACCACCACCACCACAACGGCGCCGCGUCGCAGCGCUUCUCGGGGAACCUGAAGCCCACGGCGGCGCCCAUCAUCGGCCUCUCCGGGAAGCUCGGACAGGGCGGCGCGCGGCGGACCCACCAGCAGCACCCGCCCGCCAUGUUCCCCAAGAAGGCCAAGACCGGCGGCGGCGGCCGCAACCCGAGGCCCGCCGUCCCGGAGGACGAGCCCAGCUCCCCCAAGGUCUCGUGCAUCGGCAAGGUGCUCUCCGAGCGCGAGAGGGCGCGACGCCGGCCUCGCCCGCCCCCCUCGGAGCGCGCUUCUCCCGGCUGCUGCCCUGGGCUCGGCUUCCUCAUGCGCCGCAGCCGCUCGCGGAAGAGCGCCGUCGAGAGCGUCGACUGGUCCCCGCCUCCCCCGCCACCGGCGGCGAGGCGGAGGGAGGCGAAGGCGGCUGAGACGGAGGAGGCCGCGCCGGCGCCGGCGCCCGGGCUGGGAGGGGUCAUGCGGUUCGCGUCGGGGAGGCGGGCGGCGGAUUGGGCGGCCCAGAUGGAGGUGGACGACCGCGUGGCGAAAUCCGGGCCGUUGUAG